rnacentral:lncRNA from 1 species
AUUGGUGAGCUCAAUGUACAGGGUGGCCGUAGACGUGGACGUGGCCGUGGCCGAGGACGUGGCCGAGGACGUCGAGGGAGAGGAAGAUCGAGAGACUGAUUGUAUUUUUUAUAUUUAGAGAACAUCGUUUGUAUAAUAUUAUAUAAUACUUGAUUUAGUUCAUAUUUGUAUAUUUGUAAGUGUUUUGUUUGAUAUUUUUAUCCGGUUGAUUGUAUUUUGUUAUUCCACUCGUGAUGUUGUGUUUCUUGUUUGAAUAUUUGUUAUCGUGAAAAAA